rfam:Lachnospiraceae bacterium 28-4 genomic scaffold acPFn-supercont1.4, whole genome shotgun sequence.
UGUUGUAUGCAAAUGGUAAUUUCACUUAUGAAAUGGUCAAUACCCAAGGGGAAAAUUGCCAUGGAUGGCAAUUUUAGGAAAUAUAGGACAGGAUGUCCGUUAUUUCCGCCCCAAUCGGUUCCGUUGUUUUAUCCAUUUCAUUAGUGAAAUCCGAUUGCAAACCUCA